rnacentral:rRNA from 1 species
GAUGAACGCUGGCGGCGUGCCUAAUACAUGCAGGUCGAGCGAACGGACGAGAAGUUUGCUUCUCUGAUGUUUGCGGCGGACGGGAGUGUAACACGUGGAUCACCUCCCUAUAAGACUGGGAUCACUUCGGGAAACCGGAGCUAACCCCGGAAAAUUUUUUGAUCCGUAUGGUUUAAUAGUGAAAUGCGGUUUUGUUGUUACCAAUUGAUGGUUCCGCGCUGUAUUAGCUUGUUGGUAUGGUAACUGCCUAACAAGGCAACGCUCCAUAGCCGACCUGGGGGGGUGAUGGGCCACACGGGAACGGAGACACGCUCCAGACUCCUACGGGAGGCAGCAGUAGGGAAUCUUCCGCAAUGGGCGAAGGCCUGACGGAGCAACGCCGCGGGAGUGAUGAAGGUCUUCGGAUCUUAAAACUCUGUUAUAAGGGAAGAACAUAUGUGUAAGUAACUGUGCACAUCGUGACGGUACCUAAUCAGAAAGCCACGGCUAACUACGUG